rnacentral:lncRNA from 1 species
AAAGCAAGGUCCUGUGCUGGUGAGCUAUGGACAGAUAGCUGUACUAACAGAUAUUAACUUAAAGGAAACUUUCAGUCAAAGACCUUUUCAAAAAGUUAUUCCUCUACUGUAAGAAAAUGAUGCCUAUUUGCAGAUGAAAGAUUCCCAGAGAACUGAAGAGUUUUAUUAACUGCCUGCACAGGAUCAAUGUUCAUAAACUCAGCAGACCUUCCAGACACAGCAUGCUUCUUCUGACAAACUACUAUGAUUUUUUUUUUCCUGAAUAUGGCUUCACAGAUGAUGGACCAUUACGGAAUGCAUAGCAAGGGGCCGGAGGAUGGGCUGCAAGAACUGCCCCUUUCAGUCACUGCCAACCUAGACAAGACAAAAAUAUGAACUGAUCCUUUCUAGCAGGAAACGGGAGGAUCUGUGCUUCUAGAACAGACUUUGUCUGCUGGGAGAGACCUGUUGGGACAGCAGUGCAGCAGUUUGAGGGGCUGCGACAGCUUUGCUUAUAAAGUGUGUGGAGGGGGGUGGGAGGGGAUAUUAAGAAAAUAUCCUGCUGCAUUUUGAGAAAAGACCAGUUCUAAUAAAGCUAUUGUUUUGCCAGUGUGUUUGUUUUUG